rnacentral:rRNA from 1 species
GCGGCAGGCCUAACACAUGCAAGUCGAGCGCUACCUUCGGGUGGAGCGGCGGACGGGUUAGUAACGCGUGGGAAUAUACCCUUCACUAUGGAAUAGCCUCGGGAAACUGAGAGUAAUACCAUAUACGCCCUUCGGGGGAAAGAUUUAUCGGUGAAGGAUUAGCCCGCGUAAGAUUAGAUAGUUGGUGGGGUAAUGGCCUACCAAGUCUACGAUCUUUAGCUGGUUUUAGAGGAUGAUCAGCAACACUGGGACUGAGACACGGCCCAGACUCCUACGGGAGGCAGCAGUGGGGAAUCUUAGACAAUGGGCGAAAGCCUGAUCUAGCCAUGCCGCGUGAGUGAUGAAGGUCUUAGGAUCGUAAAGCUCUUUCGCUAGGGAUGAUAAUGACAGUACCUAGUAAAGAAGCCCCGGCUAACUCCGUGCCAGCAGCCGCGGUAAUACGGAGGGGGCUAGCGUUGUUCGGAAUUACUGGGCGUAAAGCGUACGUAGGCGGAUCAGAAAGUAUGGGGUGAAAUCCCAGGGCUUAACCCUGGAACUGCCUCAUAAACUCCUGGUCUUGAGUUCGAGAGAGGUGAGUGGAAUUCCAAGUGUAGAGGUGAAAUUCGUAGAUAUUUGGAGGAACACCAGUGGCGAAGGCGGCUCACUGGCUCGAUACUGACGCUGA